rnacentral:rRNA from 1 species
UACAGAGGUGGCAAGCGUUGUUCGGAAUUACUGGGCGUAAAGGGCGCGUAGGCGGCCUUCUAAGUCAGACGUGAAAUCCCCCGGCUUAACCUGGGAACUGCGUCUGAUACUGGAAGGCUUGAGUGCGGGAGAGGGAUGUGGAAUUCCAGGUGUAGCGGUGAAAUGCGUAGAUAUCAGGAGGAACACCUGCGGUGUAGACGGCUUUCUGGACCAUUGCUGACGCUGAGACACGAAAGCGUGGGUAGCAAACAGG